CCCACCCGGAUUGUGGAUGGUCACCCCGCCUUCACGGUUCGUCGGAUAGUGGCUUCCAGACGCCGUGGUCGUGGCUUCCAGUAUCUGGUGGAUUGGGCAGGGUACGGUCCUGAGGAACGAUCCUGGGUGCCUCGUUCAUUAAUUUUAGACCCAGACCUCAUCUCAGCCUUCGAGGCCUCCUCCACUGGACGGCCGCCAGGGGGCGUCCGUUAAAGGGGGGGUGCUGUCACACUCCAGGCCUGGGUGCAGGGCCGGGUUUUCUCUCUCUCUCUUCUCUGCAGGGUGUGACGGGCAGGUGCUUCUCAUCACAACUAAUUGGAGCCCUUCUUAAGGAGCAGAGGCCAGGAGGAGGGCGUCAGUUCUUUCUCGCUUCCAGCGUGAACCUUUCGCCUACGCCACAGAUACCUCAAGCCUGGAACCCUAGGGCAACUGAACGUUCCCUGAUCGUCUGCCAGUGCAAGCCCUCCUCCUAGAGCUCACCUGCCUGUCCACCCUCAAGCCAUCUGCACAAGAGAGCAUCUCAGGAUUUUCACCCGGACCCAGGACAUCACCCCUCCUGGUCCUUGGCAAGCCUCCGACUCAACCAGAAGACUAUCAAACCGGACACCACCAACACCUGAGACCCUGCACUCUAAACAAUAACCAGAUCAAUAAACCAGAUUCAACUAAA